UCAACGGUUUGCCUUCAAAUCGCAGAUCGCUCAACGGUCCAGUCUGCCGCUCAACGGUGGCCCUUCUAAUCGCAGGACGCUCAACGCUGCCGCUCAAGCGAGAAAUAGUGGCUUCUCCCUCGAGUCUGGCGCUCAAUGCUGGAAUUGGCGCUGAGCGGUGAACUUGACUCUUUUUUUCUUCCUUUUUCUCCUCCUUUCUUGAGUCUAGGUCCUCC
rnacentral:lncRNA from 1 species